GACGAACCGUCCAAACGUUAUUCGGAAUCACUGGGCUUAAAGGGUGCGUAGGCGGCGCGGCAAGUUGGGUGUGAAAGCCCUCGGCUCAACCGAGGAAUUGCGCUCUAAACUGUCGUACUCGAGGAAGCUAGAGGUGAGCAGAACAGAUGGUGGAGCGGUGAAAUGCGUUGAUAUCAUCUGGAAUACCGGAGGCGAAGGCGGCUCACUGGGGCUUUUCUGACGCUGAGGAACGAAAGCCAGGGUAGCGAACGGG
rnacentral:rRNA from 1 species